ACUGAAAAGGUUCUCUUUCUGGAGAUCUCUUCUUUUGGAGUUUUCUACUAUGAGCCUAGGACACAGUGUGCUAUCCACAAAUGGAUUGAGGAUGUUCUAACACUGGAUGAUGAGAACCCAGAGAAGUCAUGUGAAAAACCUUGCUUACCUAGCAAACCCAGCAGAGUCUUGAGAGUUUCCAGCAAGUAGUUCGAAAAUUACAAGCAGUAGUGGUAAAGUCUACUGAAGAACCGUGGGGAAAGUGGAUACAGUUCUAUGUAUCUAAAACACUUUGAAAGAAAAACGGAUACAUCAUUGCUGCUAAUUUUGAAGAGGAACUCAGGCAGAACAAAAGAGAAAUGGCCACUUCUCCAUUUAAAGACUGUGAUUCAUUUAACGUUUCUUUUCUGCCUCGUCCUUAUAUUAUCCCAGUGUCUUACUUAAGGAAAUUGUUUCUUCCUUAAACAUAGUUCCAUUCAGCAAUUUGUUGUGUCCACUAAACUGAAUUUAUUUCGGUAUAAUUGCUGAACUCAAGAUGUCUAAAAUGUUCUGUUCUCAUUUAAAAUAUUCUUUUGGUACAUAAAGAAUCUGUGGGCUUCAAUUUGUGAAUUAUACUCCUUGGUGACAAAAAGCAUACGUGGUAUUGUGCUAAAUGGUGCUCUGCCAUUUGUAUUUGGCAAAAACAGAUCAGAACAGUUUUUAAGGAAGAGGGUAUAGGUGAGAAAUAAAGGAAUCAUGAGCUAUAUUAUCUCUGUAAGAAAGAGGAUUUUCAUCACUUCCAAAGCCAGCUUCCUGCAGCAUGUGUGAUCAGCACCUGCCAAGCACAUGGAGCAUGCAUGAAGGGAGAGCUUUUCUUAGUAUUUAGGAAUGAGCCACUUGUGAAAGGAGACACAACAACAGUGUACUUGAAAGAAAGAGAUGUGGCAAAGGCAAUGACAUGGUAAAUGUCCCUAUUCCUCCAGUGUACUUAACCCAUAAAGAAUGGUCUUCGCUGCUAUGGCAGAGAGAUGCAUUUUACUUCACCUGUCUAUGCCAACCAGGUAACUGCCACAUUCCCUGGCUUUAAGGAAAUUGAGCUGCAACAAGUUGGACUCUGCCCACAGCCGCAUUUCUCAUAAAUUACUGUAUUCCUAACAAAUGCAAUUCACUUCUGGCAUGAGACAAAUACAUAUCAGUAACCUAGAGUUGGAUAUCACAGCAUUUGGUUUAAAAUUAGGCACUUAAAAAAUACGUUCAAGACUGGUAAAGCACUCUAUCCACUUUCUAAAAAAUAUUCAUUCAAACAAACAAAACAUUCCUAAAACAACAAAAAUAUACUUACUCUGUUCACAAGAUAAUUUCU